rnacentral:tRNA from 1 species
AAGGAAUGUAUUGCACCAAAAAGAAC